rnacentral:tRNA from 1 species
GUAGUUAAAUGGAUAUAACUGCGGACUUCUAAGCCGCUAUUCGAGGUUCGAUUCCUCGC